GCUGGCUUUACGCGCGGCGGCUGACGUGGCCGCGGCUGGCGCCCUCCGCGCGCUUAGGUGCCCCCUCGGAACUCCGAGGUUGAACGCCAGGGGAGCGGUUCUCAGGCUCCUCACCGCUCAGGCGACGACACUCGGGCUGGGACAGCAUUCAAUGAGAUUCAAAGCAAGCAUGAGAGGGAAUAUGGAGGGAGCCACAUGGCAAGGAAUUGCAGAUGGCCUCUGGAAGCUGAGAGCAGUCCGCCAGCCAACAGCCAGCUAAUGAACAGAGAGGUCAGUCCUACAAGUGCAAAGAUCUGAAUUCCUUCAGCAACUCGGAUGAGUGUGGAGGCAAAUUCUUCCCCAGUGUCUCCAGAAAGGAAUGCAGCUUGACCAGCACCUGGACUUCGGUGUGACAAAACCCUGAAUGGAGAACCCUAUCUUGCCGCACCUGGACUUAUAAAUUACAGGACUCUCCAAAGCUUGGCUUCCUGGGGCCUGGGAUCUACUCAGGUUCCAUUAUCAGCGCCCUGAAACUGUGGAGACACAAGAAGGACCACUUCCUUUGGGGAAUGUUCUGGAAGCCUCACAUACGCUGGAAGCCAGUUAACCCUCAGGACAAUGUCAGGGAAAUUGACUGAAGCUCCUUCCAGAGGUGACUUCCUGGUUCCCAAGCUGGCCUGGAAACCCUUACAAGAGCUGCCACUCCAAUGGCUCUCUUAGCUGACACCUGCCUAAUCUCUCAUUGAAUCCAAUUAUGGGAAAAAGACAAAAAGCGCCCGUUUGGCUCCCAGGGACCUGGGAAUUAGAACAUCUGUGACCGCCUUACAAUCCCUUGUCCACACGCCCAGACAGUUUGGGCACUUUUCACCUCCACAUUAGUGCCAACCACUUCUUACUCUUUUCCUGGGGAGUGAUGAGCGAGCAGGCUGUGCAAACAGGACUUAGCUGGCUGAGAUUGCCAUCCUUAGAAAAGUCUGCUGGUGAGUAGGCCCUUGGCUGGUGUCUGCGAACUUCAACUUCAGGAGUGCUCCCACCAUUCCCAAAAUUUAUAAGCGUGACUGACUACGCCUAAACUUUUUGUACAAACAGUGGGGUUCAUGCUGACCAUGUUUCCUUCCGAGACCCUGGAAUUUUGAUGUGUGUUAGGCAGAAGAUGCCUACGUGACUGGCCCCCAAUAAAAAAAAAACCCGAGUCUCUAAUGCACACUGGGUCUUUAAUGAGCUUCCCUGGUCAACAAUAUUUUUUGUGUGUUGUCACUUGUUGCUGGAGGAAUUAAGUGCAUCCUGUGUGAUGCCACUGGGAGAGAACUUCUGGAAGCGUGGGUCUACUUUUCUCUGGACACCACCCCAUGUGCCUUUUCCCUUUGCCGAUUUCACUUUGUAUUCUCUGGCAGUAAUAAAUCAUAGCCAUGAGGACAGCUAUAUGCUGAAUCGCGCGAGUCCCUCAACAAGUCAUUGAAUCUGGGGCUGGUUUUGGGAACCUCCUACACAAGGCUAUCUCUGUCUAUAAAAAUAGCAUAAAGGCUUUUUUCUUCAUUCAGAUCUUCAUUGGGAGAGGUACAGAGGACGGGAUAAAUGGUUCCAUUUGGUCACUGAGAAAACAAGCACAGAGAAGAAAGGCAACUUAGUGAGGUUUCAUAGCUAAGAUGGCAGAGCUGGGACUAGAAUUCGGGUUUGUCUGUUUCCACAUCCUUCCGUUAGUGACAGUUCAGCAAUCUUAUUGCUAAAGGUUGGAAAUAACUCCCUUCUCUCUACCCCUUUUUCCUUCCCCUUAACUCUGGGGAACCUGUCUGGCAGGUCUGACAGCACCUAGUGGUGAAAUGGGAGGAAGGGUGGCAUCAAUUCCACUCACCCUCCCUCCUACCCAUGGAUAACCUCUCUACCCUUGGCCCUGUGUCCCACUCCAUCCAAGCUUGGCCACUGCCUUCCUUAGCCUUCCCUUCCUGUACCCACCACCUUCUGACAACUUUGUUUUAGAAUCUAUUGACCACUGUCUUUAUCCUCAUUUAUUUUCUGAGUGCCUCCUAUGUGUCAGAGACAAGGGUGGCACCUACAGGCCUUGGCCACUUGGAGCCGCUCCCUAACACAUUCAUUGAGGAAAUACUUACGGUCAGGGACUGCUGAAGACACAGCAUGAACAGCCCCACCGGGGCAGGGAGAGGCAAUUCACCUAACACACUUUCAUCCUGCUCCACCUCUUUUUCUCUCUCCUCAAGUAUGGAUCUUUAGGUCUGAAAUCUCAGAAGCAAGAUCUCUGGUCAUGCCUUCCCUCCCCCUUUCUGUGUUCCCAUCUGAUCUCUGCUAUGGUUAUAUCUGUAUCCAUCUCCCCACCCUUGAGCCCAUGUCACAGCCUGUUGUGCAAAUGCUUCACUCUGAGCAAGGGAGAUCGAGUUUUACUGAUUCUACAGUCUUGCUAAGCUAAUGGGAAAUGAUUCUCCCAGCCAAAAUGAUACUACAUAUUUUGGGCUAAAUGUCUGUAAGAUUCAGCAAAUUACCUUGGUGAACGGUGAAAGAUCAGAGAUUUGGGGUACAUAAAUUUAACAUAUUUUCUCUUUAAAAAAGUGUUUUUAAUGAUUUUUAGAGAGAGAGGAAGGAAGAGGGAUAGAGAGAUAGAAACAUGGGUAAGAGAGGACC